AUUGUAAAGCAGCACCUGCGCAGCUUUCGGGACUUUCGGGAAGAGGGGUAGUCUUGUGUGUAAGUAUAGCAUUUCUGGUCGAACCUGCCCAGCCCAACUAAGAAGAAUCGAACAAAAUUGCCCAACUCCCAGUCUUGUGUGAAAAUGCACAGAAAAGCUGGUUUAACGAAAUGCAUAAUCUGUUGAGUUGCUUAUGGAUGACGAUGAGAGUGAUGAGGAAAAAGUGAAGAAACAUAAGCAAAAAAAAGUCAUCUCUACAAAUUUGAAAAAGCUACAGAGCUAAAAUCCCUGCUUUCACGUCCUCUACAACCGCAAACUUUUUCAUGUUGAUACUUAGUAGGGAUAACUAUCUCUUUGAGACUCUUUCACGUCCUCUAUAACCAUCAGGGGCUAGCCGUUGCCACAACUGCAAGCAUUGGAGGAGUAAGUGAUGGACCGAGCAGAAAAUUGAAGCACAAAACUUGCGAUCGUUAGAGUUACAAGUGUUUGCUGAGAAAAUUACACACACACUUACAGAGAUAGAGAAAGAUAUAUAUAUAUAUAUAUAUAAAUAGAUAGUGAAACAUUGGUGGCGGUUUGUCUCCCAUUAAUAUAAAUGGAUUCAGAUUACCAACGAAGGUUUUGGGACUCGGAGAUAUCGAGGGCAAAGGUUAAUUGUAGAUCGAACUUCUAGAAAGCCGUGUCGAAUAUUAAGUUCAAGCUGACUCCAACCCAAAUAAAGAAGUUUGAGGAUAGCUGUUUUGGCCACUUUUUGAAGGCCAACGAGAUACAAUUUAGUGGCCACAUCGUCAACAGCAUGCUGUAUAGGCAGUGUGUUUGUGACGACAAAGAUUCUAUGGUAUUCAAUUUUGGAGGGCGUGGUGCUAGAUUUACCCAGAGAGACUUCACCAUAAUUACAGGUCUACGGUUUGGUUAUGAACCCAAUAGGCGGAUUAACAUCUCUACUCGUAUUAGUGACACGUAUUUUGGCGGAAAGCGAAAGGUCACUAACUCGGAGAUAACCGAAGCUUUCAUGACCGCACAGUGUCAAGACGAUGAUGAAGCCGACAAUGAUAGAUUGAAGUUGGAUUUAUUAUAUUUCCUAGAGACAGUUGUUCUAGGCAAAGAAAGCAUGGCCACCGCACCCCAUAAUCACUUGGAGAUGGUGGAUGAUUUAGAGUAGUUCAAUAACUGUCCAUGGGGUACUUUAUCAUAUACCACCACCAUUAGAUCGUUGAAGAGUGCUUUUGAGUAUAGAGAGUCCAUGGCUUUAAACAAGUCAAAGAGUUAUAGUCUUUGUGGGUUUCCUUUGGCUUUCAUGAUUUGGAGUUUUGAGACAAUUCCUUCGUUAGGUCAAGCAUUUGGAAAGAAGUUGCCGAACAUGGCAUUCCCUCGAAUUCUUAAUUGGCAUAUUUCAAAAGUGCCAAGAUUUGAGAAGGCCACUGAACUCUUCGAUCAUCGUGAUAUAAUAUCUCGUUCAUGGCUUAAUGAAUGUAACUGAAUUUGAGCGUGCAUAUAUUUGUAAAAUUGCAUGGGAUGUACAUCAUGACACUACUCCAUACAAUGUUGCAUCUGUUGUCCGAGACAAGCCACCACAGGGAAGUCAUGAUGAAAAAGAUGAAGGUCUUCCACUUAUAAGUAGUGGAAGAAGUAAGAAACGAAAAGAGGCAUCUGUGGAAAUUAAGGGUAAAAGAGGGAGGCGGCGAAUGGGAGAUAAGCCGACAGACCAGCCUUCAUCAUCGACUGCAGGAGUUGCUGCUCAUGUUCGUGUUAAACCAUCGACUCCAUCCCAACCUCCAACGACUCCAUCCCAUGAUGAGGUACCUUUGAAAAAGAGAUUAACUAUCCUUGAAAGCGAAGUGGCUAAUGUACGGCAAGACAUUAAGGAUUUAAGAAUCGCCAUGCUUAGAGAGUUUGCAAGUUUGGAGACCAAGCUUGAUAAGUUAAUGAAGCACUAAAGAAUGGGAGUUGGUGCUGACGGGUUGGGAGAUGGGAUAGAAGCGGACGUUGAAGGGGAUGAAAAUAAAAAAGAGUUUGGUCCUGAUGCGACCCCCGUUGAUAGACAGUCACGUCCAUCCGUUGUAGACAAUGCAGGACCAAAUGUUACGAUUAUCGAGAAAGUAUCUCCAUCAAAGUUUUCUGCCGGGAGACGUGCAAGAAAAGUAGCAGCUGCUAAGCAAAGUAUAGAUAUUGGGAGGCGGGAUAGGAAGGUGGCAGCAACUAUUACAACUCCUUACAGUGUUGGAGGCUUGUGGAAAAAACUACAGCGCACUUUACCUGAUGUAUCUUCUACUUUGAAGUUCGACCCAUACAAACCAGUACCCACGCAACUUGUAAAAAAUUUUGACCAAUUUAUGAGGUCCGGUUGGACAGCAAAGGUUGAUAUGGACAUUUUGUCUGCGGGUAAAGACUUUUUCUAGUUGCUUAUAACCAGUGAGAAGUGGCUGAAUCACGAUGUAAGUAUUUUUCGAUCAAGAUUUUUAUUUUAUAAUUUGAUAAAUUCCAUAGAUAGUUGUUCCACUGCAUGGAUGUAAUUUAAAAUUAAUUCGUCUUUCAAUGCAACAUAUGGAAGUCUUGCCUUACUUAUUUCGUGUACGUGCCAAUCGAUUCCCUGAUGUUUUUUAUCCUAGUUUUGAGGUGAUAGAUGGAGGAUUUUGAGUAAGUAAAGGCCAGGUGUCCUAUAUGUGGCUAUUGUGAUUUUGGGUAACUAAUAAUUUAUUUUGUUGUAGUUAUACAUUGAGCAGUGUUAUGGAAAGUUCCUCGCCAAUCCAUCUAAGUUCCAAUUCCCAUAUGCAAUGCAAGAAUAUGUAUUGGGGAUUCGAAUGAAGGAGUCGAAGCCAUAGAAAUGCGUAAAUCAUGGCACGUGGACUUGAAAGAGCGUCGUAUGACUGUAUAUAACUCAGAUAAGGCUGACAACCGAAACAGGGGAGAAAUUUAUUUCCAGAAAUUAUGCAUUAUGUUACCUUAUUUACUGCGAUCUGCAUCCUUUUAUGAGCAGCGGCUGGAUCUUGUAGACUCCGUUGAUGAGUGUACAUGUAAAUUGGCACAAAAUUCCCCUCAGCAAAGUAAUGGGUAAAGCCCCUUAAUACGUAUAUGUUUUUUGAAUAAAUAUUAACUAUUGAAUAUGGUUCUAAUAAUACUAAUAUAUGUUAUAAUAAUUGUUUUUUUGUAAUGGUGACUGUGGCAUGUUUACACUCAAAACCAUCGAGUUUUUACAUGCUAGAUUAUCAGUGACAUUCACACAAGAUGACAUGGAGUUCUUUAGGAAGAAGUAUGCAUAUGAGGCUUACAACAAAGAACUAAGCGUAUGAGCUGGGUGGUGAUGCAUUUUUCUUUCCUUUUGUCAUGUUUAUAAAUGCAUACUCUUUAUUAUAUUAGACUUUUAAUUGUAAAGAUAAUGGUGGCUUAUAAUGUUCAUUUAACA